ensembl:lincRNA
AUGGACACCAUCUCCCCACACCUGCAAGGGCACCUCACACUUGAACUAUCCCCCCACACGCUAAAAAGAAGGCCAGUCUCGAAUGCAAAAUUCCUCAGGGCUGAGUCCUUAUUUUCUUUCCUGUCUUCCUUCUGGCCCAGCGAGACCAGAUCUGUUACUGGGAACACAGAAUUGCAGUGGGAUAUGGAUUUGACACGAGGCAAAUACCUCCCCUUAGCAAAGGCAAAUAAAACAAAAGUUCAACGAGCCUCAAAGCCAGGGUGCAUAAAUGUCACUGAGCCUAGCAAGAGGGGCGAUCAGAGGACACUUGUGAAAUCGCGGUUCUCCCGGGGUGGUGGGGAAAGGUUACCAUGUUGCGUUCGUUCAUCUGCUCCUGCCUCUGCUCAGGGCGACUUGGAGACGGACCUCUGAUCUCCUGGUUCCACUUCAGUGGGCGCUCAGCACGGCGGCUGUCAUCUGCAGACACUGAAGAGGUAAGGCAUCGCUUUUGCUGAGAUAACUAUACCUGACCUUACAACAAUUUACUAAGGAAAUACCUGCUUAAUAGCAGUGUGAGUGCAGUUUCCUUUAUGCUCACGACGGCACUGCAAAUUAGCGACAACAGGAUAAAUCUAUGGCCAGCUCACUAGACACUUCAUUAAAUCACUGUUCUCUUGCCUUGUAGCGCGCUAAUAGAAUCACAGCCCUCGUUAGCUACUGAAUAAAAGAUCAAUCACAGACUUUGAAAGCUCUUGCUACCAGCUUCCAGAGGAAACAAGGAAGAAAAAAAAAAAGGAGAGUGAGCAAAAGUGAGAGAGAGAGAGAGAUAUUUAGGAUCAUCGCUGAGAUUCUGAAUGGCCUCGCUGCAAGUUGCUUAAAUUACCUUUUCCACGACUGACUCCAACUGCAAUACUCAGAGGAACUUGUUAAGCCGGCUUUCAAGAGCAGCACUCUAAUAUAUGACUGCUAGACCCUGGUCAAAAGUUCAUAAUGUGCAUAUGUAAAAAGGUACUAAAUUGCCUGAGGGCUAAAACCAGAGGAGUUUAAUUGUAGCAAAAUGCUGAAAAUGGUCUGUUGAGGGUCCUUCUAUUGGGAUACUGCUGGGUCUGGCUGAUUGAAGUACAGAACAUAAAAGCCUUGCAACAAUAUUUCCUUAAAUGCUGGGGAAACUGCCAGCAGUUGGUAUUGCAUGAAUGUUGUGGUUGAAGAAAAACAUUUUCCUCCCCUAAAAUAAAUAGAGUAUUAAGAACUGCUCCAGCCCAUAAUUCUAAAGCAUGACGGAAAAAGGGAGGGCUCAAUGAUAAUAAAUAAGGUAUAAUUCAUAGGGCAUGUCCAAUCUCCUCCAAGUGUAUUUUUACAUGGAGCGCAGUGAAGGUACUCAGGCAUGACCUGCAAGGAUUGGGGGGUGGGGGGUGCUGCGAAUGGCUCGGAUUUUGAAAACCGCUUUGCGCAGCUCCUGGCUGCCUCACCAGUCUCUGUGUUAGGCAUACCCAAGUGGGGAUCCUUGCAAAGAGCCGGCCCUGUUUGACGUGUCUUUAUUUCUUCUUUCACUAAAUCAGAUCUCGAGUUCCAGCUACACUCGCAUUUGGCUUGUGCGGAUGGGUUUCUCAACCCAGAAUUCCCUACCUUCCCCAGAUACCCUCCCACACCUUCCUGCUUUCCGGCUUUCCUAAUUAGUUCCUCAUUUGGAUGAGUGACAAUAUGAGCUCAGUGGAUGGCGACUCAGAUGCUAGGUGAGCCUGCGUUAAAUAUAGGACACCCAAGGGGAAGCUACAAUUUGCUAGGUGGGCUUUCUGAUUUAUAAGAAGUGUGUGUGAAAGGUACAAUUUUCGUUGAGCGUGAAAUACCCAUGUGCCAUUUUAAUCAGGUUUUAAAAAAUCUGUAUCAGACAUGGAGUUCCACACAUACGUUGUGGCCCCAAACUCACACAGUGUGGUUGGUCUGAGAGCCACCAACGCGGCACUAGGCAGGUGUGAAACGUGAGCCGUCUCACGGCUUACAUCUGUGCCUAGAAUUUGACAAAUGAGAUUAGCAAUAUCCAUAUCCUUACUGGUAUCUUUGAUCAGUAUUAUUUUCCAAGAAAAAUACUUUCCAAACUUGGAGGGAGAUGCAAGUGAUACUUCCCGAUAUAAAAGAACAGACUAAAAACGCAAAUAAAGCACCCAUUUAGUGUUGAACCCUGCAGUGCUCCAAGACUGCUCCGCCUCAUGGGCCCAACCCUCACAGGUCACCUGGAUUGGUUCAGGAUAUACUGUAUUUCAUACUUUAAAAGGGGUCAAAUCUACUCUAGAGUUCUUCAAAAGCAAAGACACA